UACGAAGGGUGCAAGCGUUACUCGGAAUUACUGGGCGUAAAGCGUGCGUAGGUGGUUCGUUAAGUCUGAUGUGAAAGCCCUGGGCUCAACCUGGGAAUCGGCAUUGGAAACUGGCGACCUAGAGUGCGGUAGAGGGUAGGCGGAAUUUCCGGUGUAGCGGUGAAAUGCGUAGAUAUCGGAAGGAACACCAGUGGCGAAAGCGGACUUCCUGGUCCAGCACCGGACGUCAGGCACGAAAGCGUGGGGAGCAAACAGGA
rnacentral:rRNA from 1 species